ACCUGGUUGAUCCUGGCAGUGGUCAUAUGCUUGUCUCUAGGACUAAGCCAUGGACGUAUAAGUGUAAGCGAUUUACAGUGAAACUGGGAAUGGCUCAUUAAAUCAGUAAUAGUCUCUUUGAUGGAAGCCGCUACAUGGAUAACCGUAGAAAAUCUAGAGCUAAUACACGCCAAGGAGUCAUGGCCUAGCAUUUUUGCUGGGGCGUGCGGUAUUUAUUAGAGGCCAAGCGAUGGCGCACUUGUGUGUCUUCUUUGGUGAGUCAUGAUAACUGUACGAAUCGAGGGCUUGUUCGCAAGCGUCGAUGGUUCACUCGAAUUUCUGCCCUAUCAACUUUCGAUGGUAAGAUAGAGGCUUACCAUGGUGGUUACGGGUGACGGCGAAUGGGGGUUCUAUUCCGGAGAGGGGGCCUGAGAAACGGCCACCAUUUCCAAGGAAGGCAGCAGGCGCGCAAAUUACCCAAUGGCGACACGCCGAGGUAGUGACGAACAAUAACGAUGGGACCCCCUUUGGGGGCCCCAAUUGGAAUGAGUACAAAGUACAAGCCUUAACGAGGAACAAUUGGAGGGCAAGUCUGGUGCCAGCAGCCGCGGUAAUUCCAGCUCCAUAGGCGUAUAUUAAAGCUGUUGCGGUUAAAAAGCUCGUAGUUGGAUUUGAGUCUAGUUGCGGCCGGGCUCAGGGCUUUGACUCUGGGGCGGGCGUGUAGACUGUAUGCGCGCGGGGAGGCGCAGGGAAUUUUCUCUGCGGACUCGUGUGGUUUACUUUGAACAAAUUAGAGUGUUUAAAGCAGGCAUUUUUGCCUUGAAUACAUUAGCAUGGAAUAACGAUUUUGACUGGGAGCGGAUGAUGUUGUCUUGUGACUCGCAGUAAUGAUGGAUAGGGACGGUCGGGGACAUUCGUAUUGCUCCGUCAGAGGUGAAAUUCUUAGAUGGAGGGAAGACGAGCUGAUGCGAAAGUCUUGUCAGGACGUUUUCUUUGAUCAGGAACGAAAGUUAGGGGAUCGAAGACGAUCAGAUAGUGUAGUCUUAACCAUAAACGAUGAC
rnacentral:rRNA from 1 species